CAGAUUAAAAUUCAAAUCAAACCCAUAAUACGCUGCAUAAGUGGUGACGACACAAAUUAGACAGAUUCAGGGACUGUAUCUAAGCCACAGAAUCUAAGCAAAGUCAAUUUACCUUGGAGUUAGAUACGAAUUUUACAAAGUGUGCUGAUUAUCUCAACAGUGAAGAAAAAGAAGCAUUCUAACGUAUGUAUUUGCAUUUAGGAGUCUUAGUAACGAUUCUACAUUGAAAUCAUAACAAUAAUGGAUAUGAGUUGGGCUUCUGAAUAUAAAAGUUAUAAUGAUCGCAAAAAUGUUCGUUUUUCCGGUUUCCAAAAGACCCAUCCACACGAAAUCGAUGGAUAAAGUUGGUACGGAGAAUUCUAUAGAUCCUGGUCCUGGUACCUGUAUAUGCAGUUGUCAUUUUCUUGAUGGGAAUAAUUAAAAAGACCCUAUACAGGCAAAAUAGUUAAAGUAUCGGAGUCCCGAAAAACUAGCGGAACCAAAAUAUCUGGCGGAGCAGAAACAGCAAGCGACCAUUUGAGCACAAUAACAAACAAUAUUACAGACCUGAAUCUAAGCCACAACCUUCGACUUCGACUGAAGGUAUUCUUGAAACCUUUAUGUCUACAGUACGGAUUGAUGCUGAAAAUGAGUUUCUCCAACAACUACAGGAAGUGUCAAUGGGACUUAACAAUUUAUUUGAACGUAUAAAAUACUUUUCUACUUAUGCAAUAUUUAAAUGUUUGUUUGCAUUACUCAAAGAUAUAAGUAGUUUGUUAUUAUGACUGGAAAGUUGAAAAACUUAGUAAGAGCAAGAUCAGUUCCUCAUAACUCUUAUGAAACUUUAGCUGUGAGAUUUUGCAGCCAAAAAUAUAAAAAAUUACGGUAA
rnacentral:lncRNA from 1 species